GCCGGGCGCGGUGGCGCGUGCCUGUAGUCCCAGCUACUCGGGAGGCUGAGGCUGGAGGAUCCCUUGAGUUCAGGAGUUCUGGGCUGUAGUGCGCUAUGCCGAUCGGGUGUCCGCACUGAGUUCGGCAUCAAUAUGGUGACCUCCCGGGAGCGGGGGACCACCAGGUUGCCUAAGGAGGGGUGAACCGGCCCAGGUCGGAAACGGAGCAGGUCAAAACUCCCGUGCUGAUCAGUAGUGGGAUCGCGCCUGUGAAUAGCCACUGCACUCCAGCCUGGGCAACAUAGUGAGACCCUGCCUCUU
rnacentral:SRP_RNA from 1 species